rnacentral:misc_RNA from 1 species
ACUGUUUACACCCUGUUUGGAAGAACCCCAUCAUUCUUGCUUCCUCUGCUUCACCAUUUUUCCACAAUUUGAGAAAUACCAAACAGCUCAACUAUGGGGAAAAAACAAGACUUUACAGCAAAAGAUCAAGAAUUGUGUGUGGGUUUUUGCCAGUUGAUCCAUGGGCACCAAAUGUUGACUCACAGAGUAUAGCUUCACAGCUAUUUGCUUUUUCUCUGUUCCCUUAUGUGGGUUUUUUGUACUUCAUCACCAAAUCCAAGACUGCCCCAAAGCUUACACUUUUUGGGUUUUAUUUCUUGCUUGCUUUUGUGGGUGCCACAAUUCCUGCUGGAAUUUACGCGAAGGUGCAUUAUGGAACUUCCCUGUCCAACGUUGAUUGGUUGCAUGGAGGAGCUGAGUCACUGCUCACUUUAACCAAUUUAUUCAUUGUGUUGGGGCUAAGGGAAGCUAUUAGGAAAGCUGAGAAUCCUGAAGAGAGCAAAAACAAUGAUGUCUCCAGAAUUAAAGAAAAGAAGAAGUCAUCAAUCUAGUUGACAUGUACCUAUCAUCCUUUUGUUGUUUGUAUACAUCUGAAUAUCAGCGGUUCAAAGAAAAAUGUUGCGUUUUCUUUGCCCGUCUGGUUUCACUAGGUAUAUGCUGUUACUGGAUGCUGCUCUGGACUCUUUUGUCCAUUGUAUUUUCACUGCAAGCAUAGGUUUAACAGUCCCAUCCUGAUGCAUCAUUAGAAAAAGAUUGUUGUAUAGAUUGCGUCAAUCAAUGUUAUGAACAGUCAAUGAA